rfam:Ictidomys tridecemlineatus contig092902, whole genome shotgun sequence.
UCUCCGUGCGCGUCUUGCAAGGAGUCUGCGCCCCAGAGAGUCCCGGGAGCGGCGCCGGCCGGUUCCCGGCUUGCCGGGCCAUGCAGCUGCGGCCACCGUGGAGCUCCCAGCGGCUGUAGCGCCCCCUAUGAAGCGGCCCGCGAUGCCCCGGCCAUUGUGAACUGUGCCACCCGCCGGAAUACACUCAGCCCUGGACACACUUAGCCUUGGAUACGAUCGACUCUGCGCGCCCUGGACAAGCAUCGAGGAGGCGAGAGGGCAGAGAGCGCAGGGGAGGCCUCCCCUCACGGGAGGGGGAAGCCGGCGGGUGCAGCGCAGGGACACGCACUUGGGCUGGCACUGGCCGCUGGGG